CAUAUCCGUUACUGCUGGUAGAAUUCAUGCUGGUUUUUACAAUGGACAUUGCUUAAUUUCCCGGAAAGAAAGCUUCAUUUGAUACUCUUAAAAGAUUUGGUACAUACGUUAGGUAGAACAGAGAGUCAUUUGAUUUACAGACAAUCAAGUAAAAGAGAUGAUAACCUCUAAACACACUCGUAGAUUUGUUUGGACAUAUAUAAAGAGAUAAUUAAGCUGAGUAGCCCCUGUAUGAAAUCAAUGAAUCACCAUGUGAGCUGUUAUUACCAACUGUAAUCUUAUUUAUUUUCAAAUUACUAUGUGAAUGUGGACAGGGAUAAAAGUGACUUUAAAUGAGCAGGCACCGGAAGACAUAAUUAUUGAAGGGGAUCAAAAGAAAAGGUAGUUAUCAGCAUAUCGAUUCCAAGUCUCUUCCCUGAAUUCACUCUGGCUUCCCUUUUUGCCUCUUUUUUGUCAUCUGAUCUGGAAAGAAGGGAGGGAGUUCCUAUUAUUGUAUAAAGAGAUUCGACUCUUCCUCAGAUGGGGUCACGGACAGCUGAGCUAAGCCAACAUACUACAGCGAGCUUAACGGGUGCUCGGUUCGGUUUCCAUGGCCAGAUAUCUCCUCUUCGUUGAAUGGGAAUCCGAAUUUUGCUUCCCUUUUGCCUGUUUUUGUAUAUAUUUAUAUUUCUUGUAACAAGUUGAGCUGUGGACGGGGCCAGCGAAGGUCUGUAAGCUUGGUACAAGCGGCCCGUGUCAGAGCUGAGAGCGAGAGAGAGAGAGAGAGAGAUAGAGCGAGAGGCUCCGUUGGGAGAGAGAGUUAGAUUUUUCCACAGUAUAAUGUUUGGAUCUGUUGUCUCAGACUGUGGCAGCAAAAUGGGGAUGUUUAUGCAUGGCCAAACUACAAAAAGAUUAGCUCCUCCUGAUCAACUCCAUGUUCUCUUUCAGGGUAUGACUAUGACCUCUGCUUUCUUUUAUUUUCUUCUUCUUCCCCCCACCCCCCUUUCACAAUAGAAAAUUACCAUGCAAUUACUACAAUCGUUAAGAAAUUUAUGGCUUCCCAUACCUUACACCUUGUAGCCUUUUAAUUUCCAGUGCUGACUCUGGCUCGUUUGAAGAGUAAAGAAUUCUUUUCUUUUGGGUCAAAAUUCAUCCUAAUCGGGACAGUGGUAUCUUAGGUCGAAGAGCUUGUAUGGGGAGGGGGAGGGGACCAUUUUUGUGGGGGCUUCUGUCUUGUCUUUUUUGGCCAGAACUUAACUGGGGUUGAUUCUCUGUUAUUGUUAACCCUUGUUUAAUUAGACUAACCAUGUUCUUCAACUUUAAGAUUGUUGGAUGUCUUUCUUAUGGUGUGGAGAUCUACUAUUGAAAGAUUCACU